AUUGAACGCUGGCGGCAUGCCUUACACAUGCAAGUCGAACGGCAGCACGGGAGCAAUCCUGGUGGCGAGUGGCGAACGGGUGAGUAAUAUAUCGGAACGUGCCCAGUCGUGGGGAUAACGUAGCGAAAGCUACGCUAAUACCGCAUACGAUCUAUGGAUGAAAGCGGGGGAUCGCAAGACCUCGCGCGAUUGGAGCGGCCGAUAUCAGAUUAGGUAGUUGGUGAGGUAAAGGCUCACCAAGCCGACGAUCUGUAGCUGGUCUGAGAGGACGACCAGCCACACUGGGACUGAGACACGGCCCAGACUCCUACGGGAGGCAGCAGUGGGGGAAUUUUUGGGACAAUGGGCGCAAGCCUGAUCCAGCAAUGCCGCGUGCAGGAUGAAGGCCUCGGUUGUAACUAGCUUUGUUACGGUAACG
rnacentral:rRNA from 1 species